UGAGGAAUAUUGGGCAAUGCCCGCAAGGGUGACCCAGCAACGCCGCGUGGAGGAUGAAUGUCGUAAGAUUGUAAACUCCUGUUAGAGGGGAAGAAUAGUACCGGUUGGACCGGUAUAUGACUGUACCCUCAGAGAAAGCCCCGGCUAACUACGUGCCAGCAGCCGCGGUAAUACGUAGGGGGCAAGCGUUGUCCGGAUUUACUGGGUGUAAAGGGCGCGCAGGCGGGAUAAAAAGUCAGUGGUGAAAUCCUACAGCUUAACUGUAGAACUGCCUUUGAUACUUUUAUCCUUGAGUUCGGGAGAGAGAGACGGAAUUCCAGGUGUAGUGGUGAAAUACGUAGAUAUCUGGAAGAACACCAGUUGCGAAGGCGGUCUCUUGAUCCGACACUGACGCUGAGGCGCGAAAGCGUGGGGAGCAAACA
rnacentral:rRNA from 1 species